AGAACGAACGCUGGCGGCAGGCUUAACACAUGCAAGUCGAGCGCCCCCGCAAGGGGAGCGGCAGACGGGUGAGUAACGCGUGGGAACAUACCCUCCGGUUCGGAAUAGCUCAGGGAAACUUGGAUUAAUACCGGAUACGGCCUAGCGGCGAAAGGUUGAUCGCCGGAGGAUUGGCCCGCGUCUGAUUAGCUAGUUGGUGGGGUAAUGGCCCACCAAGGCGACGAUCAGUAGCUGGUCUGAGAGGAUGAUCAGCCACAUUGGGACUGAGACACGGCCCAAACUCCUACGGGAGGCAGCAGUGGGGAAUAUGGACAAUGGGCGCAAGCCUGAUCCAGCCAUGCCGCGUGAGUGAUGACGGCCUUAGGGUUGUAAAGCUCUUUCGCUAGGGACGAUAAUGACGGUACCUAGACAAGAAGCCCCGGCUAACUUCGUGCCAGCAGCCGC
rnacentral:rRNA from 1 species